UACAACUUUCAACAACGGAUCUCUUGGCUUUUGCAUCGAUGAAGAACGCCGCGAAAGCGCGAAACGUAAUGUGAAUUGCAGAAUUCAGUGAAUCAUCGAAUCUUUGAACGCAUCUUGCGCUCCUUGGUAUUCCGAGGAGCAUGCCUGUUUGAGUGUCGU
rnacentral:rRNA from 1 species